GAGAGUGGAUUUUGAUCCAUUAUUAUAACCGAUUGUCCCUAGAGCAAGUGGCAAAGGGCUUGGUGGUUGGUACCCGAGACCCAAGUUCGAAUCUUAGUUGAUUUACAUUUCUAGCUAAGUUUAUUUUUAAAUGAAAUAAACGAAACGGGUAGCGUGCUAUCUAUCUCUCAAAAAAAAAUAUUUUGCCACCAUAAACCUCGAAACUCCAAUCAAAUUUU
rnacentral:lncRNA from 1 species